rnacentral:rRNA from 1 species
CCUACGGGAGGCUGCAGUGAGGAAUAUUGGGCAAUGGACGGAAGUCUGAACCAGCCAUGCCGCGUGCAGGAAGACGGCUCUAUGAGUUGUAAACUGCUUUUGUACAAGGGUAAACCUGAAUACGUGUAUUCAGCUGAAAGUACUGUACGAAUAAGGAUCGGCGAACUCCGUGCCAGCAGCCGCGGGAAUACGGAGGAUCCAAGCGUUAUCCGGAUUUAUUGGGUUUAAAGGAUGCGUAGGCGGAUUGAUAAGUUAGAGGUGAAAUGUCCGAGCUUAACACGGGAACUGCCUCGAAUACUGUUGAACUAGAGAGUAGGUGCGGUAGGCGGAAUGUAAUGUGUAGCGGUGAAAUGCUUAGAGAUAAUACAGAACACCGAUUGCGAAGGCAGCUUACCAAUCUAUAUCUGACGUUGAGGCACGAAAGCGUGGGGAGCAAACAGGAUUAGAUACCCGAGUAGUC